GACUAACGCUGGCGGCGUGCCUAAUACAUGCAAGUCGAACGGGAUUCUUUGAUCAGCUUGCUGAGAGAAGGAUCUAGUGGCGGACGGGUGAGUAACGCGUGGGAAUCUGCCUCUUACUGGGGAUAACAGUGGGAAACUACUGCUAAUACCGCAUAAGAUCUUCGGAUGAAAGGUGCAAUUGCACCGGUAAGAGAUGAGCCCGCGUCCCAUUAGCUAGUUGGUGAAGUAAAGGCUCACCAAGGCGACGAUGGGUAGCCGGCCUGAGAGGGUGAACGGCCACACUGGGACUGAGACACGGCCCAGACUCCUACGGGAGGCAGCAGUAGGGAAUCUUCCGCAAUGGGCGCAAGCCUGACGGAGCGACGCCGCGUGAGUGAUGAAGGCCUUCGGGUCGUAAAGCUCUGUCCUCAAGGAAGAUAAUGACGGUACUUGAGGAGGAAGCCCCGGCUAACUAUGUG
rnacentral:rRNA from 1 species